UUAAAACUAACAUUUAUGUACCUAGGCAAUACUAGAUUUGCCAAUAUCUCAACACAUACAUCGACAAAGACCAAUCUUUAUUUAGACACAUUGAUGCUGUCUAAAUAUAAAAGAGUCCCUAAUACACUAGGGACAUAGCUUAAUCCUCUCUAUGUGAAAGGCUCCAAAUGCACUGAAUUGAAUCUAGCUUGGCAUCUUCUUCAAAUCAAAUUCUAGCUUUUUUCAAGUUUGGCUCCUAUUUCUUAAGUAUCAC
rnacentral:lncRNA from 1 species